UACGUAGGGGGCUAGCGUUGUCCGGAAUCAUUGGGCGUAAAGCGCGUGUAGGCGGUCCGGUAAGUCCGCUGUGAAAGUCGGGGGCUCAACCCUCGAAUGCCGGUGGAUACUGUCGGGCUAGAGUGCGGAAGAGGCGAGUGGACUUCCUGGUGUAGCGGUGAAAUGCGCAGAUAUCGGAAGGAACACCAGUGGCGAAAGCGGCUGCCUGGUCCAGCACCGACGUUCAGGCACGAAAGCGUGGGGAGCAAACAGG
rnacentral:rRNA from 1 species